rnacentral:rRNA from 1 species
GAUGAACGCUGGCGGCGUGCCUAAUACAUGCAAGUCGAGCGAACAGAUGAGGAGCUUGCUCCUCUGACGUUAGCGGCGGACGGGUGAGUAACACGUGGAUAACCUACCUAUAAGACUGGGAUAACUUCGGGAAACCGUAGCUAAUACCGGAUAAUAUAUUGAACCUCAUGGUUCAAUAGUGAAAGACGGUUUUGCUGUCACUUAUAGAUGGAUCCGCGCCGCAUUAGCUAGUUGGUAAGGUAACGGCUUACCAAGGCGACGAUGCGUAGCCGACCUGAGCGGGUGAUCGGACACACUGGCACUGAGACACGGCACAGACUCCUACGGGAGGCAGCAGUAGGGAAUCUUCCGCAAUGGGCGAAAGCCUGACGGAGCAACGCCGCGUGAGUGAUGAAGGUCCUCGGAUCGUAAAACUAUGUUAUUAGGGAAGAACAAAUGUGUAAGUAACUAUGCACGUCUUGACGGUACCUAAUCAGAAAGCCACGGCUAACUACGUG